AAAUGAAGUCCAUCCAGUGUCUACAUCUUAUUGAGAAAAAUCUGUGAAGCUAAUGCAGAAAGAAGAAUCCAAAUAGACCAAAAUAAAUGUUCCCAUCCUGAGCCAAGAAAAAAAAAAAAAAAAGAAAGAAAGAAACCAUAACUUCCUUUCUCAGCUGGAUUCUAAGCUUCUUAUGUGCCUUUUUCAUGAGCACGGGUUCUAGGCACACCGGCUUCAGUAGUUGUGGCGCACGGGCUUAGCUGCUCCAUGGCAUAUGGGAUCUUCCCGGAUCAAGGAUCGAACCCGUGUCCCCUGCAUUGGCAGGCAGAUUCUUAACCACUGUGCCACCAGGGAAGUCCAGCACUGAGGAAAGUAUAUGUGAGGACAUAGCCAGAAGUACAAGCCAGGAAGAGAGCCCUCACAAAACACUAAAUUGGCUGGAUUCUAUCUUCCAGAACUGUUUACAGGAACAUUGUGACCAGACAUAUGUGGACAAUUGCAAGAACAAAGGAUUAUCACAUCCUCUCCAGGAUCUGGCUGGCAUGGAAAUGACUGAGACAACCAGUCACACACACACACACCCCAUUAGUAUAAAAGAAGCCUGAAUUUUAACUCUGGUAGGAUGAUUCUUUGGAACAUCAGUCCACCAUCUUCUCAGUCUGCUUGCUUUCCAAAUAAAGUCACCAUUCUGUGUCCCAACACCUCCUCUCUCAACUUAUUGACCUGUCCUGAGGUGAGCAGUACCAGCUUGGACUCAGUAACAAGAUGCUACUAUUCAUAUCAUAUUCUGAAUGGAAGGCUCACAGAAACUAUAUGUAAUAAGGUAAAAAAAAAAAAAAAAAAAAAGGUGCAGAGCUAAAAUUUAACUGAAAGUAGAAGCCCAUUAAUUGUACAACUAUAUAAUUUAUAAAUAAUAAUUUUGUUGCAAGAGGCUUACAAUUUACUUUCUACAGAGUCUAAGGAGAUGUACUAUGCACAGGGGAAGACAUACAAUUGAUCAAUUCAUCCUAAGAUAAAGCAUUGAUAGGCAUUCUCCCUCUCUGAAGUCUCCAAACUUAGGGAGUACCAGUUUUAUAUAUUUAUUUGACAUGUAUAUAUAUUUGAUUAUAUAUUUAUAAAUUUGAUUUAAUUUUCCAGAAAUCAGGGAAUGUGAAUGCUUUGAUAACCUUUAUUUCUCCAGUGUGUAGCAUGAUGUCUAGCCAGAGUACAUAAUCCAUAAAUAUUUGCUCUAUGAAUAAAUGAAUUCUGAAUAAUAAGAAAAAUAAAGA